GGUUAAGCGACUAAGCGUACACGGUGGAUGCCCUGGCAGUCAGAGGCGAUGAAGGACGUGCUAAUCUGCGAUAAGCGUCGGUAAGGUGAUAUGAACCGUUAUAACCGGCGAUUUCCGAAUGGGGAAACCCAGUGUGUUUCGACACACUAUCAUUAACUGAAUCCAUAGGUUAAUGAGGCGAACCGGGGGAACUGAAACAUCUAAGUACCCCGAGGAAAAGAAAUCAACCGAGAUUCCCCCAGUAGCGGCGAGCGAACGGGGAGCAGCCCAGAGCCUGAAUCAGUGUGUGUGUUAGUGGAAGCGUCUGGAAAGGCGCGCGAUACAGGGUGACAGCCCCGUACACAAAAAUGCACAUGCUGUGAGCUCGAUGAGUAGGGCGGGACACGUGGUAUCCUGUCUGAAUAUGGGGGGACCAUCCUCCAAGGCUAAAUACUCCUGACUGACCGAUAGUGAACCAGUACCGUGAGGGAAAGGCGAAAAGAACCCCGGCGAGGGGAGUGAAAAAGAACCUGAAACCGUGUACGUACAAGCAGUGGGAGCACGCUUAGGCGUGUGACUGCGUACCUUUUGUAUAAUGGGUCAGCGACUUAUAUUCUGUAGCAAGGUUAACCGAAUAGGGGAGCCGAAGGGAAACCGAGUCUUAACUGGGCGUUAAGUUGCAGGGUAUAGACCCGAAACCCGGUGAUCUAGCCAUGGGCAGGUUGAAGGUUGGGUAACACUAACUGGAGGACCGAACCGACUAAUGUUGAAAAAUUAGCGGAUGACUUGUGGCUGGGGGUGAAAGGCCAAUCAAACCGGGAGAUAGCUGGUUCUCCCCGAAAGCUAUUUAGGUAGCGCCUCGUGAAUUCAUCUCCGGGGGUAGAGCACUGUUUCGGCAAGGGGGUCAUCCCGACUUACCAACCCGAUGCAAACUGCGAAUACCGGAGAAUGUUAUCACGGGAGACACACGGCGGGUGCUAACGUCCGUCGUGAAGAGGGAAACAACCCAGACCGCCAGCUAAGGUCCCAAAGUCAUGGUUAAGUGGGAAACGAUGUGGGAAGGCCCAGACAGCCAGGAUGUUGGCUUAGAAGCAGCCAUCAUUUAAAGAAAGCGUAAUAGCUCACUGGUCGAGUCGGCCUGCGCGGAAGAUGUAACGGGGCUAAACCAUGCACCGAAGCUGCGGCAGCGACGCUUAUGCGUUGUUGGGUAGGGGAGCGUUCUGUAAGCCUGCGAAGGUGUACUGUGAGGUAUGCUGGAGGUAUCAGAAGUGCGAAUGCUGACAUAAGUAACGAUAAAGCGGGUGAAAAGCCCGCUCGCCGGAAGACCAAGGGUUCCUGUCCAACGUUAAUCGGGGCAGGGUGAGUCGACCCCUAAGGCGAGGCCGAAAGGCGUAGUCGAUGGGAAACAGGUUAAUAUUCCUGUACUUGGUGUUACUGCGAAGGGGGGACGGAGAAGGCUAUGUUGGCCGGGCGACGGUUGUCCCGGUUUAAGCGUGUAGGCUGGUUUUCCAGGCAAAUCCGGAAAAUCAAGGCUGAGGCGUGAUGACGAGGCACUACGGUGCUGAAGCAACAAAUGCCCUGCUUCCAGGAAAAGCCUCUAAGCAUCAGGUAACAUCAAAUCGUACCCCAAACCGACACAGGUGGUCAGGUAGAGAAUACCAAGGCGCUUGAGAGAACUCGGGUGAAGGAACUAGGCAAAAUGGUGCCGUAACUUCGGGAGAAGGCACGCUGAUAUGUAGGUGAAGCGACUUGCUCGUGGAGCUGAAAUCAGUCGAAGAUACCAGCUGGCUGCAACUGUUUAUUAAAAACACAGCACUGUGCAAACACGAAAGUGGACGUAUACGGUGUGACGCCUGCCCGGUGCCGGAAGGUUAAUUGAUGGGGUUAGCGGUAACGCGAAGCUCUUGAUCGAAGCCCCGGUAAACGGCGGCCGUAACUAUAACGGUCCUAAGGUAGCGAAAUUCCUUGUCGGGUAAGUUCCGACCUGCACGAAUGGCGUAAUGAUGGCCAGGCUGUCUCCACCCGAGACUCAGUGAAAUUGAACUCGCUGUGAAGAUGCAGUGUACCCGCGGCAAGACGGAAAGACCCCGUGAACCUUUACUAUAGCUUGACACUGAACAUUGAGCCUUGAUGUGUAGGAUAGGUGGGAGGCUUUGAAGUGUGGACGCCAGUCUGCAUGGAGCCGACCUUGAAAUACCACCCUUUAAUGUUUGAUGUUCUAACGUUGGCCCCUAAUCGGGGUUGCGGACAGUGUCUGGUGGGUAGUUUGACUGGGGCGGUCUCCUCCUAAAGAGUAACGGAGGAGCACGAAGGUUGGCUAAUCCUGGUCGGACAUCAGGAGGUUAGUGCAAUGGCAUAAGCCAGCUUGACUGCGAGCGUGACGGCGCGAGCAGGUGCGAAAGCAGGUCAUAGUGAUCCGGUGGUUCUGAAUGGAAGGGCCAUCGCUCAACGGAUAAAAGGUACUCCGGGGAUAACAGGCUGAUACCGCCCAAGAGUUCAUAUCGACGGCGGUGUUUGGCACCUCGAUGUCGGCUCAUCACAUCCUGGGGCUGAAGUAGGUCCCAAGGGUAUGGCUGUUCGCCAUUUAAAGUGGUACGCGAGCUGGGUUUAGAACGUCGUGAGACAGUUCGGUCCCUAUCUGCCGUGGGCGCUGGAGAACUGAGGGGGGCUGCUCCUAGUACGAGAGGACCGGAGUGGACGCAUCACUGGUGUUCGGGUUGUCAUGCCAAUGGCACUGCCCGGUAGCUAAAUGCGGAAGAGAUAAGUGCUGAAAGCAUCUAAGCACGAAACUUGCCCCGAGAUGAGUUCUCCCUGACCCUUUAAGGGUCCUGAAGGAACGUUGAAGACGACGACGUUGAUAGGCCGGGUGUGUAAGCGCAGCGAUGCGUUGAGCUAACCGGUACUAAUGAACCGUGAGGCUUAACCUU
rnacentral:rRNA from 1 species